rnacentral:rRNA from 1 species
GACGAACGCUGGCGGCGUGCUUAACACAUGCAAGUCGAACGGAAAGGCCCUGCUUUUGUGGGGUGCUCGAGUGGCGAACGGGUGAGUAACACGUGAGUAACCUGCCCUUGACUUUGGGAUAACUUCAGGAAACUGGGGCUAAUACCGGAUAGGAGCUCCUGCUGCAUGGUGGGGGUUGGAAAGUUUCGGCGGUUGGGGAUGGACUCGCGGCUUAUCAGCUUGUUGGUGGGGUAGUGGCUUACCAAGGCUUUGACGGGUAGCCGGCCUGAGAGGGUGACCGGCCACAUUGGGACUGAGAUACGGCCCAGACGCCUACGGGAGGCAGCAGUGGGGAAUAUUGCACAAUGGGCGGAAGCCGGAUGCAGCAACGCCGCGUGCGGGAUGACGGCCUUCGGGUUGUAAACCGCUUUCGCCUGUGACGAAGCGUGAGUGACGGGAAUGGGGAAAGAAGCACCGGCGAACUACGU